CGCGUAGGCGGCUUGCACAGUCAGACGUGAAAUUCCUGGGCUCAACCUGGGGGCUGCGUUUGAUACGUGCGGGCUCGAGUUCGGAAGAGGGUCGUGGAAUUCCCAGUGUAGAGGUGAAAUUCGUAGAUAUUGGGAAGAACACCGGUGGCGAAGGCGGCGACCUGGUCCGAUACUGACGCUGAGGCGCGAAAGCGUGGGGAGCAAACA
rnacentral:rRNA from 1 species